rnacentral:lncRNA from 1 species
UAAGAUUAGCCCGUAUGACUGGACAAAUUUGCCCAAGAAAAGCACCGGUAAGUACUUAUAUCUGUUUCUUUUACCUACUCUUCAAUGACUGGACUAAUUUGCCCAAGAAAAGCACCAGUAAGUACUUAUAUCUGUUUCUUUUACCUACUCUUCCAAGAAAGGCUGCAUAAUGAAACUAGACUAUUUGGAAUAGGGGGAGAUAAGAGGAAAAAUGUCUCUGUAGGAUGUAUAAACUUCCAUGAAUCACUAACAACAACGACCCAGUGCAAUCCCAUAAAUGAGGUCUGGGGAGAGACCUUACCCCUAUGUUAUAAAGAUAGAGAGGUUGUUUCCGAUAGAUGCUCGGCUC